rnacentral:sRNA from 1 species
UUUUGUUUUACGCAAACCCAGAUGGCACAGCAGUUUCUACUGAGGAUGCACUCAGGCAGGUCAUCAGCUGGUCACAUUACAAAUCUGUUGCAGCAAAUAUGGGAUGUGAAAAGCCUGUAAUUCAUAAGUCAGAUAAUUUAAAAGAAAAUGGAUUUGGUGAUCAGGCAAAGCAGAGAGAAAAUCAGAAAUUUCCAACUGAUAGUAUUUCAUCAUCUAAUCGGAGCCACAGUCACACAGGUGCAGGGAAAGGACCAGCUAAGUUAAGUCACAUUGAUCAAAGGGAAAAGAUAAAAGACAUUUCCAGAGAAUGUGCUCUGAAAGCUAUUGAACAGAAAAACUUACUUUCUUCACAAAGGAAAGAUUUAGAGAAGGGACAAAGAAAAGAUUUAGGACGACAUAGAGAUUUGGUUGAUGAAGACCUUUCACAUUUCCAAUCUGGAUCACCUCCUGCCCCAAAUGGUUUUAGACAACAUGGGAAUCCACAUCUAUAUCAUAGUCAAGGAAAAGGAUCAUAUAAACAUGACCGAGUUGUACCUCAGACUCGAGCUUCUGCACAAAUAAUAAGUUCAAGUAAAUCCCAGAUUCUUGCUCCAGGAGAGAAAAUAACUGGCAAAGUUAAGAGUGACAAUGGCACUGGAUAUGACACAGACAGCAGCCAAGAUUCUAGGGAUAGAGGAAACAGCUGUAAUAGCAGCAGUAAAAGCCGGAACCGAGGUUGGAAACCUAUGAGAGAAACAUUAAAUGUUGAUAGUAUUUUUAGUGAAAGUGAAAAAAGACAGCAUAGUCCAAGACAUAAACCAAAUAUCAGUAAUAAGCCUAAAUCUAGCAAGGAUCCAAGUUUUAGUAAUUGGCCAAAAGAGAAUCCAAAGCAAAAAUGUUUAAUGACCAUAUAUGAAGAUGAAAUGAAGCAGGAAAUAGGAAGCAGAAGUUCCCUUGAAUCUAAUGAAAAAGGAGCAGAGAAAAAUAAAGGCCUUGUAGAGGGUAAAGUGCAUGGUGAUAAUUGGCAGAUGCAAAGGACUGAGUCUGGAUAUGAAAGCAGUGAUCACAUCAGUAAUGGAUCUACUAAUUUGGACUCACCUGUUAUCGAUGGAAAUGGUACAGUAAUGGAUAUCAGUGGUGUUAAAGAAACAGUAUGCUUCAGGUAAUGUAAAAGUUGAGUGAAUCGUUUUUCCAUCACUCUUCUUUUUUGUUAAUUGCAUGAAGUAAUUUUCAAAGUUUGGGGUCAAUUAAAUAGGAUGGAAACAGCAUGAGCUGUUUUAAAGAGCUUUAAAAAGUUUGUUUCUUUUAAACACAAAUAUGUUUCUGUAAAGAAACCUAGGAUAUUGUAGUUUAUUUGAUAUUUUAGAUUUCCAUUUUUAAUAGUUAUUUCCUGAUUCCAAAAAUAGCAGCUUUUUAUUUUUAGAAAAUUUGGAAAGUACAGAAGUUUUUUAUCAUUGUUGUGGCACUGUCAACAAUUGAUUGGUUUUAAAGCACAGACUUCAGUUGGUAUCAUCUAAGUCAUUAAGUUGGUUGUUUAAUUCUUCUUUUUUUGGUGGGAGGGGAAGGAGUCUCACUCUGUUGCCCAGGCUGGAGUGCAGCGGUGCAAUUAUGGGUCACUGCAACCUCCACCUCCCAGGUUCAAGCGAUUCUGCUGCCUUAACUUCCCAAGUAGCUGGGACUAUAGACACGCACCACCACGCCUGGCUAAUUUUUGUAUUUUUAGAGAUGGGGUUUCGCCAGGCUGCUCUUGAACUCCCAACCUCAGGUGAUCCACCUGCCUUGGCCUCCCAAAGUGCUGGGAUUACAGGCCUGAGCCACUAUGCCCAGGCUGUAGUUUAAUUCUUCAAUCUAUAUAAUGUUUAUAAUCCCAUCUCUAACAUUUGUAACUCAGAACUGAAGCUAGUUUUUACUGUCACACCUCAUUCUCAUGGAAGAGAUAUUUUCCCUUUAGCAAAUAUAAAAAAAAUCAGCCAAAUAACUUUGUGUUCAAUUAAUUCUAAAUACAUUUAUUAUAUUACUGUUUAAUCCUUCUAACAAUGUGUUUGUUGGAUAUUAGCUGAUAUUUGACCACAUUUGUUAUUAAAAGGUAGAUUUGCAAAAAUCAACUGCUCAUGUUUUAUGAAAAUGCUUGUUUCAAUAAAGACUUAAAGAAAGGGCCAGGUGUAGUGAUUACACACCUGUAAUCACAGCACCUUGGGAGGCUGAGGCAGGAGGAUUGCUUGAGCCCAGGAGUUCAAGACUAGCCUGAGCAACAUGGAAAGAUCUCACCAUCUCUAGGAAACAGUUUUAAAAUAUUAGCCAGGUAUUGUGGCAUAUGCCUGUGAUUCCAGCUACUUGGGAGGCUGAGGUGGGAGGAUCUUUUGAGCCCAGGAGGUCGAGGCCGCAGUGAACCAUGUUUGUACCACUGCACUCAAUCCUGGGCAAAAGAGCAGAAAGUCCUGGCUCAAAAAAAAAAA